GUGGACGCCAGUCUGCAUGGAGCCGACCUUGAAAUACCACCCUUUAAUGUUUGAUGUUCUAACGUGGACCCGUUACCCGGGUUGCGGACAGUGUCUGGUGGGUAGUUUGACUGGGGCGGUCUCCUCCUAAAGAGUAACGGAGGAGCACGAAGGUUGGCUAAUCCUGGUCGGACAUCAGGAGGUUAGUGCAAUGGCAUAAGCCAGCUUGACUGCGAGCGUGACGGCGCGAGCAGGUGCGAAAGCAGGUCAUAGUGAUCCGGUGGUUCUGAAUGGAAGGGCCAUCGCUCAACGGAUAAAAGGUACUCCGGGGAUAACAGGCUGAUACCGCCCAAGAGUUCAUAUCGACGGCGGUGUUUGGCACCUCGAUGUCGGCUCAUCACAUCCUGGGGCUGAAGUAGGUCCCAAGGGUAUGGCUGUUCGCCAUUUAAAGUGGUACGCGAGCUGGGUUUAGAACGUCGUGAGACAGUUCGGUCCCUAUCUGCCGUGGGCGCUGGAGAACUGAGGGGGGCUGCUCCUAGUACGAGAGGACCGGAGUGGACGCAUCACUGGUGUUCGGGUUGUCAUGCCAAUGGCACUGCCCGGUAGCUAAAUGCGGAAGAGAUAAGUGCUGAAAGCAUCUAAGCACGAAACUUGCCCCGAGAUGAGUUCUCCCUGAGACUUUAGGUCUCCUGAAGGAACGUUGAAGACGACGACGUUGAUAGGCCGGGUGUGUAAGCGCAGCGAUGCGUUGAGCUAACCGGUACUAAUGAACCGUGAGGCUUAACCUUACAACGCCGAA
rnacentral:rRNA from 2 species